AGUGAACGCUGGCGGUAGGCCUAACACAUGCAAGUCGAACGGCAGCACAGUAAGAGCUUGCUCUUACGGGUGGCGAGUGGCGGACGGGUGAGGAAUACAUCGGAAUCUACUUUUUCGUGGGGGAUAACGUAGGGAAACUUACGCUAAUACCGCAUACGACCUACGGGUGAAAGCAGGGGAUCUUCGGACCUUGCGCGAUUGAAUGAGCCGAUGUCGGAUUAGCUAGUUGGCGGGGUAAAGGCCCACCAAGGCGACGAUCCGUAGCUGGUGUGAGAGGAUGAUCAGCCACACUGGAACUGGGACACGGUCCAGACUCCUACGGGAGGCAGCAGUGGGGAAUAUUGGACAAAGGGCGCAAGCCUGAUCCAGCCAUACCGCGUGGGUGAAGAAGGCCUUCGGGUUGUAAAGCCCUUUUGUUGGGAAAGAACAGCAGCAGGUUAAUACCCCGCUGUUCUGACGGUACCCAAAGAAUAAGCACCGGCUAACUUCGUG
rnacentral:rRNA from 1 species